CCUGGUGGCUCAGACGGUAAAGCGUCUGCCUAAAAUGCAGGAGACCCGGGUUCAAUUCCUGGGUCAGGA
rnacentral:tRNA from 1 species